rnacentral:rRNA from 1 species
GCAGUGGGGAAUUUUGGACAAUGGGCGAAAGCCUGAUCCAGCCAUGCCGCGUGUCUGAAGAAGGCCCUAUGGGUUGUAAACUUCUUUUAUACGGGAAGAAACCUCCGCACGUGUGCGGAGCUGACGGUACUGUAAGAAUAAGGAUCGGCUAACUCCGUGCCAGCAGCCGCGGUAAUACGGAGGAUCCAAGCGUUAUCCGGAUUUAUUGGGUUUAAAGGGUGCGUAGGCGGAAUAGUAAGUCAGUGGUGAAAGCCUGUCGCUUAACGACAGAACUGCCAUUGAUACUGCUAAUCUUGAGUAUAAUUGAAGUGGGCGGAAUGUGUCGUGUAGCGGUGAAAUGCUUAGAUAUGACACAGAACACCAAUUGCGAAGGCAGCUCACUAAACUAUAACUGACGCUGAGGCACGAAAGCGUGGGGAUCAAACAGGAUUAGAUACCCUGGUAGUCCACGCUGUAAACUAUGAUUACUCGAUGUGUGCGAUAUACAGUACGCGUCUUAGCGAAAGU